GGAAACCGGGGCUAAUACCGGAUAUGAGCCGCCUUCGCAUGGGGGUGGUUGGAAAGUUUUUCGGUCAGGGAUGGGCUCGCGGCCUAUCAGCUUGUUGGUGGGGUGAUGGCCUACCAAGGCGACGACGGGUAGCCGGCCUGAGAGGGCGACCGGCCACACUGGGACUGAGACACGGCCCAGACUCCUACGGGAGGCAGCAGUGGGGAAUAUUGCACAAUGGGCGAAAGCCUGAUGCAGCGACGCCGCGUGAGGGAUGAAGGCCUUCGGGUUGUAAACCUCUUUCAGCAGGGAAGAAGCGCAAGUGACGGUACCUGCAGAAGAAGCGCCGGCUAACUACGUGCCAGCAGCCGCGGUAAUACGUAGGGCGCAAGCGUUGUCCGGAAUUAUUGGGCGUAAAGAGCUCGUAGGCGGUUUGUCGCGUCUGGUGUGAAAACUCGAGGCUCAACCUCGAGCUUGCAUCGGGUACGGGCAGACUAGAGUGCGGUAGGGGAGACUGGAAUUCCUG
rnacentral:rRNA from 1 species